rnacentral:misc_RNA from 1 species
GAUGAAGAACUUAGUGAAAUGCGAUAAGUAAUGUGAAUUGCAGAAUUCAGUGAACCAUCGAAUCUUUGAACGCACAUUGCGCCCGGCAGUAAUCUGCCGGGCAUGCCUGUCCGAGCGUCAUUUCUCCCCUCGAGCGCAGCUUUCCCCCCCGGGGGAGGGCCGCGCCCGGUGUUGGGGCGCUACGGAGGAGCCCAGCGCUCCCCCGUAGGCCCCGAAAUGUAGUGGCGGUCCCGCCGCGGCGCCCCCUGCGUAGUAGUUUUACAACUCGCAUCGGGUCCCGGCGGAGGCCAGCCGUCAAACCCCCCAACUUCAAUAGUUUGACCUCGGAUCAGGUAGGGUUACCCGCUGAACUUAAGCAUAUCAAUAAGCGGAGGA